GCUAACACUACAUGCAAUAAAAACGCCAACACUACAUACAAAAAUACCUUUGUAUUAAAAACGCCAACAUUGUGUAUAUACACAUUCACACACACACACAUUUAAACACCAAAACUACACACAAAUACACUGCUUCAUUCAAACACACCCCUGCAUUCCAACCCACUACACACAAGUAUGCCUGCUUUUAAGUGGCAACAGUACAUACAAACAACAGCAUUCAAAUGCAAACAUUACGCACAACGUAAGAUUGAGAAACACAUUCAAACACACAAGAACUGACCACAAUUAAAAUCCUGCAAGGAUGGUCAAAUUGUAGAUUCUGUGUUACAUGUACAAUAGAUGGGAAUCUACAUUUUGACCAACCUUGCGCAGGUAAGGUGCAAAAACAAAUUAUUGCACCAGGGCCCUCUCUACAUUAGUUUCGUCACUUCUGGGAGGUUUAAC